GUGGAAAGAUGAAUAGGUAUAAUAUUAAAAUAGUAACAAAUUGGUCUCUUCUAACUAAUAAAUAAUUUAAAAGGGCCCACAGAUUCUUGUAAAACUUGGACGGAAGCGAGUGAUGUAAAAAGCUUGAAAAUACGCUGCUCAACAUUUAGCAAAAUUCUGGAUCAUUUAUGUGCCAUAAUUGUAGAGCAUUUUAUUUGCCACAUUAUUACAGAAAGGUCACAGAAUUCCUUUAUGGAGAUUCCUAUGCAUACCAAAACCUUCUCAUUUGUGUUCCUUCUCUUCUUCUCACCAUUAGUCUCCAAGGCAUGCCACCCAGUUGAUAAAGAAGCAUUACUUGAUUUCAAGCACAGAAUCAUCUCUGACCCUUCAGAACUAUUGAAUUCUUGGACAGUUUCUUCUAAUUGCUGCACUUCUUGGGAUGGUGUAGCUUGCGAUGUUUCAGGGAGAGUAGUCAAUGUCUCUCGCCCUGGUCUUGUUUCAGGCAAUGACUUCAUUGAAGACACAUAUAUGAGUGGAACUUUAUCCCUAUAUCUGGGAAAUUUGUCUAGUCUUCAACUUCUAGACCUGAGUAAUCUCAAGGACUUGAAGGGACCAAUACCACGAGAAUUUGGCAAGUUAUCACAGCUUACUUAUCUCUUUCUUGAUUCAAACAAGCUCACUGGUUCAAUACCCAUGACCUUUGGGUACCUUUCUCAGAUGAAGAAGCUGUAUCUCAGUGACAAUUUUAUAUCUGGUAGUGUCCCUGCAUCAGUUGCCAGGCAUUGGACAUCUGUAUCAGAACUUGGUUUAUCAGGGAAUUUACUGUCUGGGCCAAUUCCCUCUACAAUUGGGAAGUGGAUCAUGAUAACCAAGAUUGAUCUUCACGGUAACAACUUUUCUGGUAGAAUUCCUGCAGGAAUUGGCAACCUGAAGAAUCUGAAAUUUCUUGAUUUAUCUGAAAACAAAAUAGGUGGAAGCAUUCCACCAUCCAUCGGUGGACUUUCUGAACUAAUACUACUAUAUCUCAAUGAAAAUCAUCCAACAGGAAGAAUUCCUUCUUCCAUAUCUGGACUCACAUCUAUGCAAUUCUGCCGUUUAUCAGACAACAAGCUGACAGGUACUUUGCCACCAUCAAUAGGCCAGCUCGCAAGGAUCCAAAGACUAAUCCUUGAGAACAACAAGCUUACUGGGAAACUGCCUGCAACCAUUGGUCAUCUGACAACUCUUACUGAUAUAUUCUUCUCCAACAACCAUUUUACAGGCAAGAUCCCUUCAAGUUUUGGCAAUUUACUCAAUCUUCAAACACUGGAUUUAUCAAGAAACCAACUCUCUGGUCAACUUCCACCUCAGCUGGCUAAAUUACAGAGACUACAGACUUUGGAUUUGUCAUUUAAUCCUCUUGGACUAGUUGAAAUACCAAACUGGUUCCAGGAGUUAAAGCUUUUCCGCCUUAUUUUGGCAAAGACUGGAAUUGAAGGGCAGCUGCCACACUGGCUGGCUUCAUCAUCCUUAUCUGUUCUUGACUUGUCAAGCAACUCAUUAUCAGGGGAAUUACCUCAUUGGAUUGGUAAAAUGACUAGCCUUUCAUUUCUCAACUUAUCAAACAAUGGCUUUCGUUCAUCAAUUCCCGUUGAAUUCAAGAACCUUUCCCUUCUGAUGGAUCUUGACCUUCAUUCCAACAAGUUCACUGGCGGUCUGAAUGUGAUUUUCUCUAAAGAAGUCCAAUACCCACUAGGCCAUUUUAACUCCAUUGAUCUUUCCAACAAUAUGUUCUCUGGGGCAAUUGAAGAUAACAUUGGAGAGAGACCUGCAAUGGCUUCGAUUACUGCUCUGAUUUUAUCUCACAACAAGUUGGGAGGUUCAAUACCAAAUUCAAUUGGGAAAAUGAACGAAUUGCAGGUACUAAAGCUGGUAAACAAUGGCCUGUCUGGGAAGAUACCUGUGGAGCUUGGAGAUGCCAAGAAGUUGUCAACGAUUUUAAUUUCAAGGAACAAAUUGAUUGGUGCUAUACCUGAGAAGGUAAUAAAUCUGAACGAGCUAAAAGAGUUUGAUGUUUCCAGUAACAGACUGAGAGGAAGGAUCCCUACACACAAAGCCAUUAUUCCUGUAUCUGCAUUCAAGAAUAAUCCUGGUUUGUGUGGAGCUCCACUUCCUCCCUGUUAACACUUUCAGUAUUUUCUCAAUAUUGGUCUCUU
rnacentral:misc_RNA from 1 species